UUGGCUCAGUUCGAUCCUAGUUGGCUCCUCAUCGAUUCGCUCGGGUAUCCGGUGGGUUCGGCCCUCGGUUGUUUCGGUCUGGCGGCCGCCAUUGUCCCGGAUGGUAGCUUUUCUCGGUGUCUGUUGCCAUCGGCUGCUUCUUCUUCUUCACUCCCCGUCGGCCGGCCGCCAUCCAGGAUUCCUCCCAGAACGCUCUCCGGGGCUCACAGCGGCCUGUCGGGCCUCGUCGUCACCGAGAACACCCAGGCCGGAGAGGAGGCCUGCACCGCCCGAGAGGCUUCCAUGAAGUCUGCCUGUCCCCACCUGAAUGUCAGCUCCUUCGUCUUGUUCUGAGAAGUCGUAGUGACGGCGCCGGCGGUGCCAUGAGGGUUGUGCCUGAGAAGAAUGCGGUCCGGAUCCUUUCGGGCCGAGAGAGGGGAACGCAGGCUCAGGGUGCCCAACGUCUCUUACAGUGCCUGGUGGAGGAUAAAACUCGGUUCAUGAAAUGGGAAGGCAAGAAGGUGGAGCUUCCAGACAGUCCGCGUUCUACAUUCCUACUGGCGUUCAGCCCAGACAGG